rnacentral:rRNA from 1 species
GACGAACGCUGGCGGCGUGCCUAAUACAUGCAAGUUGAGCGCUGAAGGUUGGUACUUGUAUCAACUGGAUGAGCAGCGGACGGGUGAGUAACGCGUGGGGAAUCUGUCUUUGAGCGGGGGACAACAUUUGGAAACGAAUGCUAAUAUCCCAUAUAAACUUUAAACACAAGUUUUAAGUUUGAAAGAUGCAAUUGCAUCACUCAAAGAUGAUCCCGCGUUGUAUUAGCUAGUUGGUGAGGUAAAGGCCCAACAAGGCGGUGUUACAUAGCCGACCUGAAAGGGUGAUCGGCCAAAAUGGGACUGGGGAACGGCCCAAGCUCCUUAGGGGGGGAACAAUAGGGAAACUUCGGCAAAGGGCGGAAGUCUGGACCCACAAAGCCGGGGGGGUGGAGGAGGUUGUCGGGUCGGAAAACUCUGUUGGUAGGGAAGGAAGGUGAUGAGGGUAAAAAGCUCAUGUAGUGACGGUAACUACACAGAAAGCAACGGCUAACUACGUG